CAAAUCGGCGUCAGCUUUGGUCGCGUACGGUGGUGGAUUUGAUUGCAAGUGCGGCCGGUAGGUAGCGCUAUUGUGGCGGUGAGCGCGCCUCUGAGUGCGGCAAGAGGACACUCUCGGUCUCGGGCUCGGGUCGAUAUUGCGCGGGCCAUGAUCUGCGUACUGCGCUCAGACACUGAGACAGCCGCGCCGCGCGCCCGCGUUGAGUAGGGUCAGGUGAUCUGAUAAGUCAGCUGGACCAACCAACACCGGUCUCAUCACUUCACUGAUAACGCCACCGGUCAAUCAGUGCAUUGUGUGUAUUUUGUGUGUGUGCUCCUACUCGGGCAAUUAAUUAAGUUUUGGAUCGGUAUUGACUUGUAUUGCCAUCUCCGACAAUGUGUAGGUUUAUCUCAAGUCAGCGAAGCAAUCUGCAAAAUUGACACUUCGAUCUCUGUGCUUUACUACUGGAACUAAUUCAAUAAUAUCUUUUGACUUUGACCACUAGUUCAACAUACGUUGUACCCUAACCUAGUGUAAUUCAGAUUGACAAUAUAGGGUUGUUUGUGUUGACUGUGGUAAACAAGUUUUGUGUAGUCAGGAACUGAUUAAAGUGUAUCAACCCCAAUUAAUUUCCAUACGGUUUGUGUUCUCAAUCACCUAACUAGCUGUUUAAGUUAUGUGAUGACUCAUAAGUGUAUAUCAAUUUUCAAGUCCAAUAGUUAGCAUUCCCAGUGAGGGUUCACUGUCUCUUCAACUCUAGUGCAGUGCAGUUCCCAGCGUUUGUGCCAUAUAUAACCCAAUAUUAUAUUGUAGACAAACCUUGUUACCAAAAAACGUUGAUCUUUACAGGCAUGUAUUGAUCAACUCGAAUAUUGUGUGACAAUAUUUUCUGUGUGAACUGAAUUGAAUAAUUUGUGGGCAGGAUGGUGAUGACUUGCUAUGUGAUAGCCGGUGUUCUGGCGGUGCUCGUCGCUCUCUACUGGAUUUUGGAAGUGCACUACUUCCUCAGGAUGGCCUUCAGCGUCUUCCUCGCCAGGUUCAUCAAGAAGAGAGUUCACAUUUUGGACACGACUGAAGUCAGAGGUGUUUGUCUGAGCACAGACGUAGACACGCUACUAUUUCACAUGAACAACUCGAGGUACAUCCGAGAGCUGGACUUCGCCAGAGCCGACUUCUACGAGAGGACAAGACUGUAUAGCACCAUCAGAGGGAAGGGAGGUGCUGUGGUUCAGGGUGCCUGCACCAUUCGCUACAGGCGCUUCGUCAGGCCUUUCUCCUGUUUCAAAAUCACUUCAAAGAUAAUCUACUGGGAUCACCAGUCGAUAUUCAUGGAGCACAGAUUUAUCACGCCGAAGGACGAGUUUGUGCGUGCGGUGGUAGUGUGCCGACAGCGGCUGAUCGGAGUCAACGCAGAGGACAUCAUGCACGAGCUGAUGAAGGAGAAGGAAGCCAACCUCGAGCUGGGAUUCUGCAAGCCUGAGUGUCCUCUCGAGGUCAAGAAGUGGAACGAGUCCAACGAGAUCUCCAGCGCCAACCUCAGGAACGGCUGCUGACAUUUGCCUCAACCUCAACAGACUGUUGCUUGUACCUCUUAAGCGGGUUAAUUAUUAGACAUUUGAAGGGGUUAGAAUACAAGUGGUCCUAGUGACAUAUUGUUAGUUUCGAGAAAUUGAGUCUUAAGCCGUGUCCACACUGAACACAGACAAACAUGCUUGUUGAGGAGCUUAGGGACAAACAUUUUAAAAAGUUUGGACAAUCAUUGUUUGUCAAACAAAAAAUUACUGUUUUCCAAACAUUUUCAGAGUUGACAGCUGUAAAACAUAAAUCCUGUUCUUCCCACUUACAAAUAUUUUGUUCGGUGACGCGUUCACACUGGUCACGGGCAAACAUUGUUUGUCAAACCUAAUAAAAUUUGCCCAAACUUUUUCAACAAACAUGUUUGUCGACCAUUUGACCAGUGUGGACACGGCUUAAAGUUUAUAUACAUUAAUUCUUCAUUCAUGAAAUGAAUAUAGAAAUGAUAUUCACCUAUUCAGUAUACUUUUACCAAAUCAAACGUACAUGUCUCAAAUUGCUUUUUUUCUCAGUUAUCAGCCAAAUAGUGAUAAGAAAUAUCACUUGUGCCCCUUGUUUGCCAAACAAAACUCUAUUGUCUAGCUACACAUAAAUCUAUCAAAUUUACCAGCAAUUGAACAAUGAUUAAUGACCUCAUUGCAAUAUUAUCAAAUUCGCUAAUUGGUUCUUGAGGUAUCUUUUGCUUGGUGACAUGGCUUAAUCAAGGAUAAAUUUAAUUUGAUGGAUACGAGCAACCGUUGUUCAGUGAACAAGGGAUUCAAGUCACUUGGACCCCUUGUUUAAUCAAAUAAACUGAUAACCAUAGCUGAUUGUAUGGUAUGCGAUGUUGUGGUAAUUUCUUCAUAAUUGAAAGAAUAAAGCUGCGUUUACACCAAAGUUAUUAACAAAAUGUUAAUAACUUAAUCCUUAUAGAUUCUAUUAGAUUAAACAUAACUUAUCAUACACAUGAUGAACAUAUGUGUUUGCCAAGUUCCUUUCAAUCUAAUAGAAUCUAUUAGGAUAAAGUUAUUAACAUUUUGUUAAAAUGUAAACGCAGCUUUAGAUGUUGAUAUUGUCAAUACCACUUUAAUUUAUUCAAAAAUUAAUUCAUUUACUGAACCAGGUUUCAUGGUAACAUCUUCGAAGAUGUGGUAGGUGUUACCAUGAAACCUGGUUCUGUCAUAUGAAUUAAUUUUCGAAUAAAUUAAAAUGGUAUUGACAAUAUCAACAUCUUAUUCUUUCAAGUAAACAGCUGUUUCAAAAUUUAGUUUACAAAUUUCACACCAGAUGUCAGCACUGAUUAGACUUACGCUUUUACGCUUAUACCUCUGGUAUAGAUUUUUACCACUUUCAGCUAUCGAUUGCUGUAGCUAACUUGAAAAAAAUGAAAAAUGUCACUUGGAUCUCUGGUAUUCUGACCCCCUCAUUUAUAACCAACAGCUUUAAUGAGAAAUUCAGUCUUAUUGUUCAGGUGAUGAAGACUCCAUGGAUAAUAAAUUCAUUUUUCAGCUAGACCUAGAUGGUAGCAAAAUGAAUAUUAUUAUACAAUUUUAUGUUCCUGUAUAAUAUAUUAUCAAGAAGCUUAUUAUUUCUUGUUAUGAAAUAUAAUAAUAAACCAUAUUAUUUACAAGAUAGUGCAUUAUCAGUUGUUGGGACUAAUAGAAGAGAUGUGUGAAGAGUGAUUUACUAUUGUGAUAUUAUAAAUAACUAUUUAGGACAGAUUUGAUGUAGGUUUAUGCGAGAACCCAAACCAAUUUUCAGAUUUAGUAUUAAUGUUAAUCAAUAUGUAUUACUCUCAGUUAACCUUUGUAUCAUUAGAACUUCGUUAUUUUUCAAAAGACACAUUUGUUUCACUCAUUACUGGAUUGAGAAUCAUAAACAGCAGAACAAUAUUAUAAGCCAGCAUAUUUAUGUAAUUUCUCUUGAAAAAUUCCUACUAUUACACUGUACUACUGUAUUUAAAUAGAAUCAGAUCGUCAAUAGAUUAGGCAAAACUAUACUGUUUUUGAAAUUGUAAUCAAUGUAAACUUAUACUGUUAUGUAUCAAUAUAGAUUGAAGCUGGCCAAUGUAACUUGCACGUACCUUUAUAGCCAAAAUAAUUGCCUUCAAUUCUAAUGAGGUGGAACAAAUUUAAAUUUUAUAACAGCAUUUGUUUAGCGGAAAUGUUGUUUGAAGAUGCUGGACAUCUUUACAGUGUACUUAAUAUAUUGUUGGAGAAUUUUUGUAAUAUGAAUAAAGUUGAAUACUGAGUUCAAUAA
rnacentral:misc_RNA from 1 species